rnacentral:tRNA from 1 species
GCCCGGAUAGCUCAGUCGGUAGAGAGUUAGGCUUUUAACCUAACGGUCCAGGUUUGAAGUCCCUGUUCGGGAG